AGCAUAUCAACUGUUCCAGAUGGCUUUAUGAUUAAUGAAAAUGUUGAACAGCAUCAAGUCUAGUACUAGAAACACCCCAUUCAAUGAGGAUUUCCCACUGGCAACUACUUUUUGAGGUAAUGUUUCCCCCACAGCUGGUACAAAUUAAAAUAAUGGAG